rnacentral:rRNA from 1 species
CUACGGGUGGCUGCAGUGGGGAAUAUUGCACAAUGGGCGCAAGCCUGAUGCAGCCAUGCCGCGUGUGUGAAGAAGGCCUUCGGGUUGUAAAGCACUUUCAGCGGGGAGGAAGGCGUUAAGGUUAAUAACCUUGGCGAUUGACGUUACCCGCAGAAGAAGCACCGGCUAACUCCGUGCCAGCAGCCGCGGUAAUACGGAGGGUGCAAGCGUUAAUCGGAAUUACUGGGCGUAAAGCGCACGCAGGCGGUCUGUCAAGUCGGAUGUGAAAUCCCCGGGCGCAACCUGGGAACUGCAUUCGAAACUGGCAGGCUAGAGUCUUGUAGAGGGGGGUAGAAUUCCAGCUGUAGCGGUGAAAUGCGUAGAGAUCUGGAGGAAUACCGGUGGCGAAGGCGGCCCCCUGGACAAAGACUGACGCUCAGGUGCGAAAGCGUGGGGAGCAAACAGGAUUAGAUACCCGAGUAGUC